rnacentral:rRNA from 1 species
CGGACGGGUGAGUAACGCGUGGGUAACCUGCCUUGUACUGGGGGACAACAGUUAGAAAUGACUGCUAAUACCGCAUAAGCGCACAGUAUCGCAUGAUACAGUGUGAAAAACUCCGGUGGUACAAGAUGGACCCGCGUCUGAUUAGCUAGUUGGUAAGGUAACGGCUUACCAAGGCGACGAUCAGUAGCCGACCUGAGAGGGUGACCGGCCACAUUGGGACUGAGACACGGUCCAA